CGGCCUUUUCGGCGUGGCGCUCGGCGAGUGUGGAGCUCUUCCUUAGGGCUGUGGUCGUUGCGAAGGGCCGACUUUAAGGCCUCGCUGCCCGCCUGGCUGCUCCUCUGGGCCCUUCAGGCUGAGGGCACGAUGCCUUUUACCGGGGAAAUGCAGCUUUAUAUUGCUGGUUACUGCUGGCUCUGCCCGGCGUGGGCGCCAUGCUGCACUAGGCCUCGGCUCCAGACCUUCCCGAUAUCUCUUCAGGCACAUCCUUAGCAUAGGACGAAGGGCACAGUGAAAAAGAUGUUCCUUCCUGGAAAGCCGAAGAGAGGCAGGUGGUGUGGCAGAAAGGUCUGAAGAGGUCUCAGAAACCUGAGGAGAAAAAUGAAGAUACUUUUGUGCGGUUACAUGUGAGGACAAGUCUGAGUUGUCGGUCAGUUUCCUUCAGAUUUAAAAGAUCUUGCUCAACUUCUAGAACUUCUAGCAAGCCUGGCUACAGGAAAAGAAAUGGUUUGGCAUUUCAAGAUGCAGAAAACUUCCAUCUUAUUCAUACAUGGGUUCAAGCAAGCUGCAGCCAAUGCGAGUGCAUGUAAUAUUUCCUUCCUACAAGUAAUCUUAGCUUGUGCUGUUUUCACACCCAUGUUCUGAAGCACUUGUUUUGACCAUGUUUACCACAUGGCUAAGAACGGUUUAUAAAGAACAGUGCUAAGUUCUGACCUGCCAGUCAGAAUUGCUUUAUAAACACCUUAGGAUCUAGGAUGUGUUUGUGGAUAUGAGAAUUGUGAUUCUUGUUUUUUUAACCUUAAACAAUAAAGUUUGUAAGCUUGCUUCCUACCUCAUUCCCCUUCUAGCACUUAAACCUUUUGCACUGCUAAAGCAGCAGCAUCUGUUCAUGUUGGGUUAUCAGCCUUUCAGUGUUCUGGCUCUUGCUCCUUUUCCAGUUAAUGUGGAAAGUUGGGAGGAGGCGUUACAAUGUAAAAUAGCUUUGCCUUGAGUCAUUUCUCUUCCAUGUUGUACUGCAGCUCGUAAACCAUAAUCACUUGUUUGAAAACACUUGUGCAUUGUGUUAGUGAUGAUGAAACUUGGUGCUCUUGGGAUGUGUGAGUCAUAGGUAAGUCUGAAUCCCAGGUGCCUGUCCAGUGCUGGUAAUGGGGAAUGCAGAAUAAUAACACGUUAACGUCCUGGGUUUUGUCAAAAGUCUUUUAUUUGAAUAAAGUGUCUGAGCUAUUUCCCUUCA